rnacentral:sRNA from 1 species
UAGCAACGGAUUUUCUGUUGCUAAACAAAUUCCGAAAAAAAAAAAACAUGGGUUGCAACGGAAUUUCCGUUGCAA